rnacentral:rRNA from 1 species
UGGGGAAUCUUGCACAAUGGGGGAAACCCUGAUGCAGCGACGCCGCGUGAACGAUGAAGCCCUUCGGGGUGUAAAGUUCUUUCGACAGGAACGAUAAUGACGGUACCUGGAGAAGAAGCUGCGGCUAACUACGUGCAAGCAGCCGCGGUAAUACGUAGGCAGCGAGCGUUGUUCGGAGUUACUGGGCGUAAAGAGUGCGUAGGCGGCGAGCCAAGUUUGGUGUGAAAUCUCCCGGCUUAACCGGGAGGGUGCGCCGAAAACUGGUUGGCUGGAGUAUGGGAGAGGAAAGCGGAAUUCCUGGUGUGGCGGUGAAAUGCGUAGAUAUCAGGAGGAACACCUGCGGUGUAGACAGCUUUCUGGACCAAAACUGACGCUGAGGCACGAAAGCGUGGGUAGCAAACA